rnacentral:rRNA from 1 species
GAACCCUGAAUAAGGGAGUGAAAUAGAACCUGAAACCAUACGCUUACAAGCGGUCGGAGCAGACUUGAUCUGUGACGGCGUGCCUUUUGCAUAAUGAUCCUACGAGUUACUCCUCAUUGGCAAGGUUAAGUCUUUAAGGGACGAAUCCGAAGCGAAAGCGAGUCUGAAUAGGGCGCUUUAGUUAGUAGUGGUAGACGCGAAACCGUGUGAUCUACCCAUGGGCAGGGUGAAGCUGUGGUAACACACAGUGGAGGCCCGAACCGAUAUACGUUGAAAAGUGUUCGGAUGACCUGUGGGUAGGGGUGAAAGGCCAAUCAAACUCGGAAAUAGCUCGUACUCCCCGAAAUGCAUUUAGGUGCAGCGUUCAGGUAGAGUAUUAUAGAGGUAGAGCUACUGAUAGGGCUAGGGGGCUUCACCGCCUACCAAACCCUGACAAACUCCGAAUGCUAUAAAAUGUUAAUCAGCAGUGAGGGCAUGGGUGCUAAGGUCCAUGUCCGAGAGGGAAAGAACCCAGACCAUCUGCUAAGGUCCCCAAAUGUAUGCUAAGUUGAUCAAACGUGGUCUGAUUGCUUUGACAGCUAGGAUGUUGGCUUGGAAGCAGCCAUUCAUUUAAAGAGUGCGUAACAGCUCACUGGUCGAGCGACAGGGCAUCGAUGAUGAUCGGGCAUUAAGUAUACCACCGAAGCUAAGGCAGUAUUUUAUACUGGGUAGGG